rnacentral:rRNA from 1 species
AUUGAACGCUGGCGGCAUGCUUUACACAUGCAAGUCGGACGAGGGGCGAACGGGUGAGUAAUAUAUCGGCACGUCCCGAGUAAUGGGGGAUAACUAAUCGAAAGAUUAGCUAAUACCGCAUAUGAUUGGAGCGGCCGAUAUUUGAGUAGCUGGUUGGGGGGGUAAUGUCCUACCAAGGCGACGAUCAGUAGCGGGUCUGAGAGGAUGAUCCGCCACACUGUGACUGAGACACGGACCAGAAUCCGACGUGAGGCAGCAGUGGGGAAUCUUCGGCAAUGGGCGCAAGCCUGAUCCGGCCAUGCCGCGUGUCUGUAGAGGGCCUUCGGGUUGUAAAGGACGUUAGUUAGGGAAGCGGUACCUGAAGAAUAAGCACCGGCUAACUACGUGCCAGCAGCCGCGGUAAUAC